GAUGAACGCUGGCGGCGUGCCUAAUACAUGCAAGUCGAGCGAACAGACGAGGAGCUUGCUCCUCUGACGUUAGCGGCGGACGGGUGAGUAACACGUGGAUAACCUACCUAUAAGACUGAGAUAACUUCGGGAAACCGGAGCUAAUACCGGAUAAUAUAUUGAACCGCAUGGUUCAUUAGUGAAAGACGGUUUUGCUGUCACUAAUAGAUGGAUCCGCGCCGCAUUAGCUAGUUGGUAAGGUAACGGCUUACCAAGGCAACGAUGCGUAGCUGACCUGAGAGGGUGAUCGGCCACACUGGAACUGAGACACGGUCCAGACUCCUACGGGAGGCAGCAGUAGGGAAUCUUCCGCAAUGGGCGAAAGCCUGACGGAGCAACGCCGCGUGAGUGAUGAAGGUCUUCGGAUCGUAAAACUCUGUUAUUAGGGAAGAACAAAUGUGUAAGUAACUAUGCACGUCUUGACGGUACCUAAUCAGAAAGCCACGGCUAACUACGUG
rnacentral:rRNA from 1 species